GCGAGUGAAGCGGCAACAGCUCAAAUUUGAAAGCUGGCCUUCGGGUCCGCAUUGUAAUUUGUAGAGGAUGCUUUGGGUGAAACGCCGAUCAAAGUUCCUUGGAACAGGACGUCAUAGAGGGUGAGAAUCCCGUAUGUGACUGGAAAUGUUAACCUAUGUAAAGCUCCUUCGACGAGUCGAGUUGUUUGGGAAUGCAGCUCUAAAUGGGGAGGUAAAUUUCUUCUAAAGCUAAAUAUUGGCGAGAGACCGAUAGCGCACAAGUAGAGUGAUCGAAAGAUGAAAAGCACUUUGGAAAGAGAGUUAAAAAGCACGUGAAAUUGUUGAAAGGGAAGCGCUUGCAAUCAGACUUGUUUAAACUGUUCGGCCGGUCUUCUGACCGGUUUACUCAGUUUGGACAGGCCAGCAUCAGUUUCGGCGGCCGGAUAAAGGCUCUGGGAAUGUGGCCUUCACUUCGGUGAAGGUGUUAUAGCCCAGGGUGUAAUACGGCCAGCCGGGACUGAGGUCCGCGCUUCGGCUAGGAUGCUGGCGUAAUGGUUGUAAGCGACCCGUCUUGAAACAC
rnacentral:rRNA from 1 species